GACGAACGCUGGCGGCGCGCCUAACACAUGCAAGUCGAACGGAGCUGAGAGAAGCUUGCUUUUCUUAGCUUAGUGGCGAACGGGUGAGUAACGCGUGAGUAACCUGCCCUGGAGUGGGGGACAACAGUUGGAAACGACUGCUAAUACCGCAUAAGCCCACGAUCCGGCAUCGGAUUGAGGGAAAAGGAUUUAUUCGCUUCAGGAUGGACUCGCGUCCAAUUAGCUAGUUGGUGAGGUAACGGCCCACCAAGGCGACGAUUGGUAGCCGGACUGAGAGGUUGAACGGCCACAUUGGGACUGAGACACGGCCCAGACUACUACGGGAGGCAGCAGUGGGGGAUAUUGCACAAUGGGGGAAACCCUGAUGCAGCGACGCCGCGUGGAGGAAGAAGGUUUUCGGAUUGUAAACUCCUGUCGUUAGGGACGAUAAUGACGGUACCUAACAAGAAAGCACCGGCUAACUACGUG
rnacentral:rRNA from 1 species